AUGGCUUCCGCGGGCGGGCGCGUCCACUUAUUCGACGUGAUUAGCGGGGCCACGCCUUCCUCUCACCGACAGGUGGGUCCCGUAAGGUGGGGCCCGCCUGGCCUGGCUUCUUCCUCCUGCGCGUACGCGCGCCUGGCCGAGGGAGACGCCCGCCUCCACUGCGAUUGCCGGCGGCUCCGGCCGCCUCAGACGACGGCCGACCUAUCCACGAGCUCAGGAGCAAGAGGCGCAUCCCGUGGUGGUGUCCGUUGCCGGCGAGGAGCACGGGAGAAGGAGCAGCAGGGCUCGCGGCAGAGGUGGUCUUCGGACUCCAGCGAACAGGGGGCUCCGGUGGGGGAACUAGGUGGGCAAGGCUACGGGGAGGUGCGCCGGACCUCGGGGAACGCAUAG
rnacentral:rRNA from 1 species